UUGAAAGGGAAACGAUUGAAGUCAGUCGUACCGACGGGAAUUCAACUUUUUAAGUGCUUGUCGUGGGUGAUGUUGAGCUUCGCGGCCUUCGUUGCUUUGCGUUAUGGUACUUUUAGGUGUACUUUUCCGUAUGGUAGGUCAACAUCGAUUUUAAUCGUCAUAAAAUGAUCGGAGGAAUGUGGCUUCGAUCUCGUAUCGGAGUGUUAUAGCCUUUGGUAGAUGUGACGAUUGGGAUCGAGGAUUGCAACGAAUACCCUUUGGGCUAUCCGUCUGACCUCUGAAAGUCGCUCGGGUGUCGAAAGCGUGCUUAUGACAUUCUAGUUGGCGGUCAAAAGGUUAGAACGUAAUUACAUUCGUUAAGGAUGUUGACGUA
rnacentral:rRNA from 1 species